CCUACGGGAGGCAGCAGUGGGGAAUAUUGGGCAAUGGGCGCAAGCCUGACCCAGCAACGCCGCGUGAAGGAAGAAGGCCCUCGGGUUGUAAACUUCUUUUAUCAGGGACGAAACAAAUGACGGUACCUGCUGAAUAAGCCACGGCUAACUACGUGCCAGCAGCCGCGGUAAUACGUAGGUGGAAAGCGUUAUCCGGAUUUACUGGGUGUAAAGGGCGGGGAGGCGGGAGAGCAAGUCAGACGUGAAAUUCCAGGGCUCAACCCUGGAACUGCGUUUGAAACUGUUCUUCUUGAGUGACGGAGAGGCAGGCGGAAUGCCGUGUGUAGCGGUGAAAUGCGUAGAUAUCCGGAGGAACACCAGUGGCGAAGGCGGCCUGCUGGACAUUAACUGACGCUGAGGCGCGAAAGCGUGGGGAGCAAACAGGAUUAGAUACCCGUGUAGUC
rnacentral:rRNA from 1 species